CUUGAUCAAAUACAAGAGGCCCCGCCUGCCCAGUGAUUAUUUCAACGGCCACGGUACCCUAACCGUGCGAAGGUAGCACAAUCACUUGUUCUCUAAAUAAGGACCAGUAUGAACGGCAUCACGAAGAUUAUACUGUCUCCUCUCUGCAAUCAGUGAAACUGAUCUCCUCGUGAAAAAGCGAGGAUUAACUUAUAAGACGAGAAGACCCCAUGGAGCUUUAAGAAAAUACCAAUUGUUACACCCACAUCACAAAAAAUUUGACAAACCUGGCCAUUAACUUUCGGUUGGGGUGACCACGGAGUAAAAUAAAACCUCCGCAAUGAAAGAGUCCAACUCUAAUUCUAGAGCCACAUCUCUAAAAAUCAUUAAAUUGACAUUUAUUGACCCAAACCCUUGAUCAAUGAACCAAGUUACCCUGGGGAUAACAGCGCAAUCCAUUUCAAGAGCCCCUAUCGACAAAUGGGUUUACGACCUCGAUGUUGGAUCAGGAUAUCCUAGUGGUGCAGCCGCUACUGAAGGUUUGUUUGUUCAACAAUUAAAAUCCUACGUGU
rnacentral:rRNA from 1 species